ACUAGCAAGCUCAGGAAAAGAACUCAAAGAUAACUUUUUGCGGGCUCUGGCGGAAAGAGAAGAAGCCAACUGUGAUGGAAAUCUUGCUCAAAAUACGUGAAGAAGCUGCUCAGAAAUCUACAAACAGCUAUUCAAAGAAACUCUGACUCAGAGAAACCUGUGAAUUCAGCAGUUUCUAAUGCUCACGUUUCCUUUGUUGAAAACUGGAUGAAACAUAAGAUUGCGUUAUAUAUGACCAACAAUAUUGUGCUGACGUGAUCUUGUUUCCCUUUACUGUUUCCUAAGAUCUACAAAGGGUUCCCUGUCAAGAAAAAGAUGGUGUUUUGUAAAUGUUUAGUUCCCUUUUAUUGAACUGGUUUGUCUGUUUAAUAAGUCCUCAUGGAAAUUGCAUGAGUCAUGCAGGUAAUCAUAACUUAAUCUCAAUCAGUCACUUAUGCUCUUGAAAUAUAAAAAUACAUGUCAAAUUCCAUUCCAUUGGAAAGAGAAUAGUAUGAAGGAAAUGUAUCUAUGUUUCCUGGAUGUAGAUGUAGUCUUUGUUAAGCAGCUCUCUUUGGCUUUGUAUGCAUUCUCCCCACUUAAAAGGGCUAGGGAUGAGUGGAAAUCAUGUUCCUUGUUCAGAUUUAUUGUGCAGAUGACAAGCAGAAGUCUUUAUUCCUUAUAGUUCCGGAAAUCAUAGGCAUCAUUUUCUGCCAUUGUUUGUAUAGUAAAUAAUGCUGAGGCAUGUUGGCAACAGGUGUAACGGAGCAUAAAAGCACCUGGAGAUGAGCCCACAGGAUACAGCAUCAUCUGAACCCCAAAAGCAAUUUUGGGGUGCUGGCUGU